CGGGUGUGGAUGCUGAGGUUCUGCAUUCCUGACUCCAACCUGCUCUCCUCGCCCUCCAGCAGCUUCCUGUAGGUCGCAAUCUCGAUGUCCAGGGCCAGCUUGACGUUCAUCAGCUCCUGGUACUCACGCAGCUGCCGGGCCAGGUCCUGCUUCGCCUUCUGCAGAGCUGCCUCCAGUUCAGACAGUUUGGCUCUGGCGUCCUUCAGAGCCAUCUCCCCCCGCUCCUCUGCCUCUGCAAUGGCUGUCUCCAGGGUGGCUCGCUGGUUCUUGAGCACCUCGAUCUCGGCCUGAAUCCUCUGGAUCAUCCGGUUGAGCUCGCUGAUCUCGCUGCGGGUGGUGCGCAGGUCGUCGCCGUGUUUGCCGGCCGUCGUCUUCAG
rnacentral:lncRNA from 1 species